UUGUAUAAGUUUACUUUUGCGAUAGAGACUGAUGAGUCGUUCGGAGUUUAAACCUAAAAAGUACGCUACCGUUUGGUUCGGAGUUAAGAAAAAACUAGUUAUUCCAGGGAUAGGGUUAAGUUCGGAGUUAAGGUUGGGUUAGAUUAUUUUUUGUGUUUGGUUGGGGGUUGGAGUUAGUUCAGGAUUAAAAAAAAUAAUGUUUGAUUGGAGUAGGUGGGAUAAGAAGGAUAAUGUGUAAAAUAGUCUUUUGUUUGAUUUGAGUAGUGGAGUGAGGUGGGGUUAGCUAACCCCACCCCAAUGGGCUAUUUUAGAAUAGCCCAUUUG
rnacentral:lncRNA from 1 species